AUCCAGGCUCUGUUCCAGUCAUCUUGCCUCCCCACAGCCAGCCCUUCCUCUCCCAUCGUCACGAUUUCCUUCUUCCAAUUCCUCGCACUACCCAAAAGGAUAUGGAGAUCUCCAGCCAGGAACAAAGCCUUCAAGAGUUGGAUUUAGAAGACAUAACUAGGAAAAUUUUAUUUCUUGACAAAUGGAGGAGAAUCUUUAGUUAUCAUGGGUUGGGAACCAAUAAUACAACUCCUGAGAGUCACGAAAGCAACCAUGUGUCAGCUAAUGAAAC
rnacentral:lncRNA from 1 species